rnacentral:rRNA from 1 species
ACGGGUGAGUAACGCGUGGGAAUCUACCCUUGACUACGGAAUAACGCAGGGAAACUCUGUGCUAAUACCGUAUGUGUCCUUCGGGAGAAAGAUUUAUCGGUCAAGGAUGAGCCCGCGUUGGAUUAGCUAGUUGGUGGGGUAAAGGCCUACCAAGGCGACGAUCCAUAGCUGGUCUGAGAGGAUGAUCAGCCACAUUGGGACUGAGACACGGCCCAAACUCCUACGGGAGGCAGCAGUGGGGAAUAUUGGACAAUGGGCGCAAGCCUGAUCCAGCCAUGCCGCGUGAGUGAUGAAGGCCCUAGGGUUGUAAAGCUCUUUCACCGGAGAAGAUAAUGACGGUAUCCGGAGAAGAAGCCCCGGCUAACUUCGUGCCAGCAGCCGCGGUAAUACGAAGGGGGCUAGCGUUGUUCGGAAUUACUGGGCGUAAAGCGCACGUAGGCGGAUCGAUCAGUCAGGGGUGAAAUCCCAGGGCUCAACCCUGGAACUGCCUUUGAUACUGUCGAUCUGGAGUAUGGAAGAGGUGAGUGGAA